rnacentral:rRNA from 1 species
GAUGAACGCUAGCUACAGGCUUAACACAUGCAAGUCGCGGGGCAGCAUGGGGGUUGCUUGCAAUCCCCGAUGGCGACCGGAGCACGGGUGAGUAACGCGUAUUCAACCUGCCCUUCACCACGGGAUAACCCGGCGAAAGUCGGACUAAUACCGUAUGUUGUCCAUUGACGGCAUCCGAUUUGGACGAAAGGCUUGGCGGUGAGGGAUGGGGAUGCGUCCGAUUAGCCAGACGGCGGGGUAACGGCCCACCGUGGCUACGAUCGGUAGGGGUUCUGAGAGGAAGGUCCCCCACACUGGAACUGAGACACGGUCCAGACUCCUACGGGAGGCAGCAGUGAGGAAUAUUGGUCAAUGGGCGUAAGCCUGAACCAGCCAAGUAGCGUGCAGGAUGACGGCCCUAUGGGUUGUAAACUGCUUUUAUGCGGGGAUAAAGUGGCCCACGUGUGGGCUUUUGCAGGUACCGCAUGAAUAAGGACCGGCUAAUUCCGUG